AGUGAAAAUGUUUUAAAUGAAAUAUAAACAAUAACACUUUGAAUUAAUAUUAUUUUCAUUAAUCACAUUUAAUGAUGUAAAAAAAAGGUAUCAUUAGCAUUGUUACAAUUAAAUAUCAAUAAGAAGAAACAGUCACAAUCAUCUGAAUUUAAAUUCAAUACUUUGUAAUGAAGAUGAACGUAUGUAAAACAAAAGAAAAGUACAUGGAAAUGUAGUAAAUGAAAAAAGAAACAAAUUAGAUACUACAAUAUAAAAGUACAACAUUGGGAUGUGUACUGGAAGGAAACUUCGGACAAUUAGAACAGAAUAUAAUACAACCAAAAUAUUGAUAAUACAAGCAAAAUUAUAAUGUUAUCAUGACUCUUCUAAUCAACAGCAAAAGAAGAAGUACUUUAUUGAUACCUGCAAAAUUAAUAUAAAAGAUUUAUGGUAUACCGGAAGCAACAUACAGACUAGAAUAAUAUUUGCAGAUUCAUUUUGGCAAGUAAAAAUAGUUGUAUACAUUAUAAAUUGCUGAUUAGGCAAAAUCAAAUGAGUCGUUGAGUACAAUGAAAUACUACUUUUUAAACUAUUUUUAAUCUAUAAUUUAAGAUUAUAAUACGUAAAUAACAACGAUAUUUAUUUCAUUAGUUACUUUUACUUUGAACAAAUGCAUGAAUUGAAUUAUGUCCUAAGAAAUAUUGACAGAAUGAUUUUUUUCAUAUUGCUUAAAAUUGUAUCUUUUUUUCAGGAUUGGUAUGCUAAAACAUAAGAAACAAAUAUGAGGAAAUAUUUUUUAUGUAUGUUUUCCACCUUUCGAAAAAAUAAUCGUACUGAAGCUUCAUAUCUAACACGGUCAAAUUAAAAUUAAGAAGAUAAAUUUUAAUGCUGAAAGGAAUUUAGAGUGAACAUUAUCAUACUCUGAAAUUAAUCUCUCAUUGAAAUAACAAAUAUUCUCUAUCAUGAAUACACUAUCGUAAACUACAACAUAGGAUACUGCAACUAAAUCAUUCUAUUAUUUGUCAUGUUGUAAAUUCAUUAACUGCAUUAAGAAUGCAAUUAAAAUAAAUAAAUCGACUCACUCAGUUUCUGUUAAAUCAGACUAAAUGUCAUUGAAAGCUUGAAAUAAGGUCUGCAAAAAUCAACGUACACAAUUAUCGGUAAGAUCAUUUAAUACUAGACCAAGAAUUGGUUCAAAUCUUACCGAAAAUAUUAUUCCGUAUCGUUCUUAUUUCAAAUCUUCAACUAGUCAAAAUCAAACGUAUAAGUCGAGCUUAUGAUUAUACUGUUUGUUUUGUUUUAUUAUAAUUGCAAGAUAUUGA